CUACGAGUUUGCUGUCAUUCUUAAUCAAGUCAGUGGAUGAAAAGGUACUGAUAAUGUCCUUCAUCUCGAGUCCUCGACAUCUCAAUUUGACGUAAUAAAUACAAUACAAGCCACAGGUAUUUGAAUCAUCGGGUUGAAUUUGAUUGCCAACCACACAGUAUUCCGGUCCAUUCACGAUGAGUACAUUUCUAAAAUAGCGUUGGUACGUUUCCGGGUAUCGUCCUAAGGAGUCGAAAAAUUCGGGUGGACCCGAUGCGGGAAAAUGAAAAGCCACCCAAUGACUCCCCUUUUGGUCACAGUUGUCCGUAUUGACCACAAACGUUCUAGGUCUGUCGCUCACAUAGCUAGGUAAGUCUUCUGCACAGCACACGGUCACGGGUAAUCCGCUCAAAGCAUCCUCUACAUCUUUCCCGGUCAUCGGGAGAACAAUGCCGUUUUUUCUUCCACACCCUUGCUGACUAUGGGCUUCCAAUCCACGAAGGUGAGCAAACACUACUCCACAAUCCCGACAGGCGAUGAGAUCUUCUCGUCUCUCAGCAUCGUCUGACGAUAG
rnacentral:lncRNA from 1 species